AGGGAGCCCCUCCCUCUAAAAGCACUCUGUGUGGGGAAGAUGAGAACCAGAGCAAAGCUCAGAGGAACCAAACUGGAUCUGUACCUGGACCUGGAUCUGGAUCCAGCUGUGUGUCAUUCAGGAGUGACGGAUCAAAGGGUUAUCCUCCUGACUUCAAAGCCAUCAGUCCAGGAGUGGAACAGUUCCAACAGAGAUCUGGAUAUGGAUCCAGCCGUGUGUCCUUCAGGAGUGACAUAUCAAAGGGUUAUCCUCCUGACUUCAAGUCCAUCAGUUUAGGAGUGGAACAAGUGGACCAGCAGAGCUCAGAGACUCCCAGUGGUCCGUCUGUCCAGCAGCAUCAAAC